UGCUCAGUCAGGCUCCUGGCUUAAUCUAGGACUUCUCUGUUCCUGGGUAUACCCAAAGCCUGACUGCAUG
rfam:Rattus norvegicus chromosome 1, whole genome shotgun sequence.